UGGGGAAUAUUGCACAAUGGGCGAAAGCCUGAUGCAGCAACGCCGCGUGAGUGAUGAAGGUCUUCGGAUUUGUAAAGCUCUGUCUUUUGGGACGAUAAUGACGGUACCAAAGGAGGAAGCCACGGCUAACUACGUGCCAGCAGCCGCGGUAAUACGUAGGUGGCGAGCGUUGUCCGGAUUUACUGGGCGUAAAGGGUGCGUAGGCGGAUGUUUAAGUGAGAUGUGAAAUACCCGGGCUUAACUUGGGUGCUGCAUUUCAAACUGGAUAUCUAGAGUGCAGGAGAGGAGAAUGGAAUUCCUAGUGUAGCGGUGAAAUGCGUAGAGAUUAGGAAGAACACCAGUGGCGAAGGCGAUUCUCUGGACUGUAACUGACGCUGAGGCACGAAAGCGUGGGUAGCAAACAGGAUUAGAUACCCUGGUAGUCCACGCCGUAAAC
rnacentral:rRNA from 1 species